rnacentral:rRNA from 1 species
AUACGGAGGGUGCGAGCGUUGUCCGGAUUUAUUGGGUUUAAAGGGUGCGUAGGCUGGAAGGUCAGUCAGCGGUGAAAAGCAGUUGCUCAACAAUUGUCUUGCCGCAGAUACUUCCUUUCUUGGAUUGGGAGGAGGUCACCGGAACGGAUGGUGUAGCGGUGAAAUGCAUAGAUAUCAUCCAGAACGCCAAUUGCGAAGGCAGGUGACUGUACCUAUAUCGACGCUGAUGCACGAAAGCAUGGGUAGC